UACGUAGGUGGCAAGCGUUGUCCGGAUUUACUGGGCGUAAAGAGCGCGCAGGCGGUCGAUCAAGUCGCGUGUGAAAGCCCCCCGGCUCAACUGGGGAGGGUCACGCGAUACUGAUCGACUCGAAGGCAGGAGAGGGUAGUGGAAUUCCCGGUGUAGUGGUGAAAUGCGUAGAUAUCGGGAGGAACACCAGUGGCGAAGGCGACUACCUGGCCUGUUCUUGACGCUGAGGCGCGAAAGCUAGGGGAGCAAACGGG
rnacentral:rRNA from 1 species